rnacentral:rRNA from 1 species
UACGGAGGAUGCGAGCGUUAUCCGGAUUUAUUGGGUUUAAAGGGUGCGUAGGCGGACUGUCAAGUCAGCGGUAAAAUUGAGAGGCUCAACCUCUUCCCGCCGUUGAAACUGGUGUCUUGAGUGGAUGAGAAGUACGCGGAAUGCGUGGUGUAGCGGUGAAAUGCAUAGAUAUCACGCAGAACUCCGAUUGCGAAGGCAGCGUACCGGCAUCCAACUGACGCUGAGGCACGAAAGCGUGGGGAUCAAACAGG